rnacentral:lncRNA from 1 species
UGUUCUUGCAGGUUACAUUUGUUCGGUCAAGUACCAAGCAAAUUUUUUUCUGGAAUUUGUGUUUGAAUACCAAAUUGUUUGAGUACUGAGAUACCACCAUAUUUCGUUCAUUAUUUUUACAAAUGAAGUUAUCGUUCAUAGGUUAUAACAGCAUGUCAUUAAGCAUAAAAUAAACUGUUUUCAGUGUGAAAAACAUUACAGCUUGAUAAGUGGCAAAUAGCAGGAACUUUAAACAGGAAGAAGGAAAGUUCUAAGACAGACAUGAUAUCAAGCUUCUAAGAUUAUUGAAAAAGGUUAAACAAUGGAAAUUAACAAUAACUUGGUCUUUGUCAGAUAGAGUGAAAAUAUUAGCCAUUGUGAAGAAAUCAAAGUAUAAUACAAAUAUGUUUAAGAAGUAAAAAUAUGCAUUUUUAGAGGAAAACAAAAUUGCAAAUUUCUGAAAUGCAACCAUCCGGUGUCUUAAGUUUUAGAUAAUUUUGGUUGAGGUGUGGAUUUUUGAGAACCGAUCGUCUUAGUAUACAUCACGGACAUGCAAAAUGAACAUUUCUUUUUAGGUUAAAACUGCAGAAGGUAAGAUUUUCUGUUGGGAAAAGUUUUUGUUCUUUGUCUUUAUAAUCCUUAAAAGAUUAAUAGUUGCUAUUUUUCUUUUUUCUUUAUGAUACAGAUCAUGAUUAGUAGAUGUCACACAGAUUAGGAAUAUAUGACUACUGAAGAGUAGAAAUUUGGUCAUAAUAAUGAGUAAGUUACAUACAAAAUACAAUUUAUCUACAAAUGACUAUCAUGUGUAGGCUCUAAAAGUCAGGUUCAUCUUGAACGGUAGAGAAAUGAUUUAAAGGCAAUGUUUGCCUAACAGUAGGAAGAUUGUAACACUUACA